AGAACGAACGCUGGCGGCAUGCCUAACACAUGCAAGUCGAACGAGAUCCUUCGGGGUCUAGUGGCGCACGGGUGCGUAACGCGUGGGAAUCUGCCCUUAGGUACGGAAUAACUCAGGGAAACUUGUGCUAAUACCGUAUGAUGUCUUCGGACCAAAGAUUUAUCGCCUAGGGAUGAGCCCGCGUAGGAUUAGCUAGUUGGUGGGGUAAAGGCCUACCAAGGCUACGAUCCUUAGCUGGUCUGAGAGGAUGAUCAGCCACACUGGGACUGAGACACGGCCCAGACUCCUACGGGAGGCAGCAGUGGGGAUAUUGGACAAUGGGCGAAAGCCUGAUCCAGCAAUGCCGCGUGAGUGAAGAAGGCCUUCGGGUUGUAAAGCUCUUUUACCCGGGAAGAUAAUGACUGUACCGGGAGAAUAAGCCCCGGCUAACUCCGUGCCAGCAGCCGC
rnacentral:rRNA from 1 species